UCCUGGCUCAGAUUGAACGCUGGCGGCAUGCCUUACACAUGCAAGUCGAACGGCAGCGGACCUUCGGGUGCCGGCGAGCGGCGAACGGGUGAGUAAUAUAUCGGAACGUACCUUCAGUGGGGGAUAACGUAGCGAAAGUUACGCUAAUACCGCAUAUUCUGUGAGCAGGAAAGCAGGGGAUCGCAAGACCUUGCGCUGAUUGAGCGGCCGAUAUCAGAUUAGCUAGUUGGUGAGGUAAAGGCUCACCAAGGCGACGAUCUGUAGCGGGUCUGAGAGGAUGAUCCGCCACACUGGAACUGAGACACGGUCCAGACUCCUACGGGAGGCAGCAGUGGGGAAUUUUGGACAAUGGGCGCAAGCCUGAUCCAGCCAUGCCGCGUGAGUGAAGAAGGCCUUCGGGUUGUAAAGCUCUUUCGGCCGGGAAGAAAUCGCACAGGUUAAUACCCUGUGUGGAUGACGGUACCGGAAUAAGAAGCACCGGCUAACUACGUG
rnacentral:rRNA from 1 species